AUGCAGCACCUUUUAGCAGCUGCCGCUUUGGCAUCAGUCAGCAAGUUCAACUUCUACCUGAGAGUGGAGCAUCGUUGCGUGGAUUGGUUGAGAAACAGCAGAUCCAGGCUACUGGAGAAGUACCGCCAAAUGGGAGAGAGUCAGCACUGUUUAAUUUCCCAAAUUAAUGUUGCCUGAAUGCAUUACACACACACACAGAAAACGGGACGAAAGCCCAAAAAUGAAUGGUUCUCACUGUGAAUAAUAUGUACUGUAUUUUGUCUUUAUACAGCGCUCUACAUCAUUGAUGAAAAUGAGAAAAGUAUGCAGUUUGAAGAGUUGUAUGUGUAUUCAGUUGUGGAAGAGAUGGUCGGGGAAAGGGAAAUCAUAUAGCAUGUAAACAACCUGACUGUGAACAGCCAUUUUACCUCCUGUCCCUGUGGGCUUUAUAUCAACACAAGGCAAAUGAACAUGACCGCAGAGGUGCUGCAGUGUCUGUUGGAGAGGAGGGUAACAGAACACAUGGAGGACUGUCACCAAAUCCCAGCCGUCUCCAUGGCCUCCAAUACAGACAGCUUGCCUAACCUCAUAAACUACCUGACUGACUGGGUUAAACACUUGGAUGCAUCGCAAAUGGCACCCUAAUCCCUAUAUAGUGCCUUAUUGGCCCUGAAUUGAUAUUUUCUUUCCUAUGGGCCCUAGUCAAAAGUAGUGUACUAUAAAGGGAACGGUGUACCAUUUGGGACAUAGGAAGACUGUUUAUCAUAAUGAAUUCUGUUUGGGACGUCAGCCAGGCCAUAACACGACACUUACCCAGUAUCACUACUCCCUCCACUUAGCAUGUUAAACAUUCCUAUUGUAUUCAUCUAAUAAAACCAUCAUAUUUUGAGAUUAAGUAUUAAGGGGUCCUUCACUAGAACUGGAAGUAGCAUUGAUUUAUAGAAUUGUUCAUUUAAGGUGUCAAACCAAUAACCCUUUUCUUCAAUGGUUAUGUAUUGACUAUCAAAUACUUGAAUGCAGAGUACAGCGACUAUGUGGACACUGACUGGAUCUUCAUUACUCCUUUUAUAAAAUGUCAGUUGACCAUGCUUGGAUACUAUCUGAAAUAAAAUCAUGCUAAAACCA